GAAAAGAAACCAACAGGGAUUGCCCCAGUAACGGCGAGUGAAGCGGCAGCAGCUCAGAUUUGAAAUCUGGCCCCCCCGGCGGGGGCCCGAGUUGUAGUCUGCAGAGGAUGCCCUGGGCGCGGCGCCUUCCGAGUUCCCUGGAACGGGACGCCACAGAGGGUGAGAGCCCCGUCCGGUCGGACGCCAGGCCCGUGUAGGGCUCCUUCGACGAGUCGAGUAGUUUGGGAAUGCUGCUCAAAGUGGGAGGUAUAUGUCUUCUAAAGCUAAAUACCGGCCAGAGACCGAUAGCGCACAAGUAGAGUGAUCGAAAGAUGAAAAGCACUUUGGAAAGAGGGUUAAAGAGCACGUGAAAUUGCUGAAAGGGAAGCGCCCGCGACCAGACUUGGGCCCGGCAGGUCACCCAGGCUCUCGGGCCAGGGGCACUCUGCCGGGCGCAGGCCAGCAUCGGCUCGGCGCGGGGGACAAAGGCGGCGGGAACGUGGCUCCCCAGGGAGUGCUUAUAGCCCGCCGCGCCAUGCCCCGUGCCGGGCCGAGGCACGCGCACCGCAAGGAUGCUGGCGUAAUGGUCGCCGGCGACCCGUCUUGAAACACGGACCAAGGAGUCGUCCUCGUAUGCGAGUGUUGGGGUGCCAAACCCCUACGCGCAGUGAAAGCGAACGCAGGUGAGAGCCGAAGCCUCGGCGCAUCAUCGACCGAUCCUGAUGUUCUCGGAUGGAUUUGAGUAGGAGCAUACGGGGCCGGACCCGAAAGAAGGUGAACUAUGCCUGUGUAGGGUGAAGCCAGAGGAAACUCUGGUGGAGGCUCGCAGCGGUUCUGACGUGCGAAUCGAUCGUCAAACAUGGGCAUGGGGGCGAAAGACUAAUCGAACCUUCUAGUAGCUGGU
rnacentral:rRNA from 1 species